UUGGCCUCCAAACCCAAAAACAAGAUCGUCUUCUCCAUGAGCUCUGGUAAACCCAUCCACACUCCCAUGACCUCUCCUCUCUCUCUCUCUCUCUCUCUCUCUCUCAGCUCCGGCGUCUCUCCAAAAUGAGUUGAACUGUGAUUUGAGCUCUGAGUUCUUUCACUUCGUCUCACUCCAUCAAAUCGAAGCUGAAGUAAUCAAACCAUAUACUCAAGUUUCUGGUAUUCUCUGGUAUUCAAAGAGCCCAAAACAAGUUGGGAGGCUAUUGUAUAAGGGCUAUAUCUCCUGUCAAAGUGUAGCCAAGGGAAGCACAGUGGCUUGGCCCAUCAACUAUAUUAAGCUACUUUAAGAUCUGCUCUUGAGGUAAAUUUUUAGACUUUCAGCAUUAUGGCUUAAAACUGAAUGUAAUGUGUAGCUACUGGUACACUUGGUCUUUUCUAAUUAAUUAAGGUUGCAUGUUUUGUGGUUGUGACUCAAGAAAGAAGGGUAAACUAGCAAGCUUGAUCAACUGGCAAGAAGGAAUGGGCAUAUGAUUCUUAUUUGAUGUCUUAGAAUUGGAUAUAUUGAACUAGUUGAGCAUGUUAGAUUUUAUUGAAAGUGACACAUGUUGGUGGUUGUAUAAUAUAGGAGGCUUGGAUAUGUUCAGGGUAAGGUUGUUCAUAG